UACAUAUCAAUAAGCGGAGGAAAAGAAACCAACAGGGAUUGCCCCAGUAACGGCGAGUGAAGCGGCAACAGCUCAAAUUUGAAAUCUGGCCCCCAGGGCCCGAGUUGUAAUUUGCAGAGGAUGCUUUGGGCGCGGUGCCUUCCGAGUUCCCUGGAACGGGACGCCAUAGAGGGUGAGAGCCCCGUACGGUUGGACACCAAGCCUGUGUAAAGCUCCUUCGACGAGUCGAGUAGUUUGGGAAUGCUGCUCAAAAUGGGAGGUAUAUUUCUUCUAAAGCUAAAUACCGGCCAGAGACCGAUAGCGCACAAGUAGAGUGAUCGAAAGAUGAAAAGCACUUUGAAAAGAGGGUUAAACAGCACGUGAAAUUGUUAAAAGGGAAGCGCUUGUGACCAGACUUGCGCCCGGCGGAUCACCCGGCUCUCGCGGCCGGGGCACUCCGCCGGCUCAGGCCAGCAUCAGCUCGCUGUCGGGGACAAAAGCUUCGGGAACGUGGCUCCCUCCGGGGAGUGUUAUAGCCCGUUGCACAAUACCCUUCGGUGGGCUGAGGUACGCGCUCCGCAAGGAUGCUGGCGUAAUGGUCAUCAGCGACCCGUCUUGAAACACGGACCAAGGAGUCAACCUUAUAUGCGAGUGUUCGGGUGUCAAACCCCUACGCGUAAUGAAAGUGAACGCAGGUGAGAGCUUCGGCGCAUCAUCGACCGAUCCUGAUGUUCUCGGAUGGAUUUGAGUAAGAGCAUAUAGGGUUGGACCCGAAAGAAGGUGAACUAUGCGUGUAUAGGGUGAAGCCAGAGGAAACUCUGGUGGAGGCUCGCAGCGGUUCUGACGUGCAAAUCGAUCGUCAAAUAUGCGCAUGGGGGCGAAAGACUAAUCGAACCUUCUAGUAGCUGGUUUCC
rnacentral:rRNA from 1 species